rnacentral:rRNA from 1 species
UACGUAGGUGGCAAGCGUUGUCCGGAAUCACUGGGCGUAAAGCGCGCGCAGGCGGCGAUCUACGUCUGGGGUGAAAGCCCGGAGCUCAACUCCGGGACUGCCUUGGAUACGGGAUCGCUUGAGGAUUGGAGAGGCAAGGGGAAUUCCACGUGUAGCGGUGAAAUGCGUAUAGAUGUGGAGGAACACCUGUGGCAAAGGCGCCUUGCUGGCCAAUUACUGACGCUGAGGCGCGAAAGCGUGGGGAGCAAACAGG